GAUGAACGCUGGCGGCGUGCCUAAUACAUGCAAGUCGAGCGAACAGACGAGGAGCUUGCUCCUCUGACGUUAGCGGCGGACGGGUGAGUAACACGUGGAUAACCUACCUAUAAGACUGGGAUAACUUCGGGAAACCGGAGCUAAUACCGGAUAAUAUAUUGAACCGCAUGGUUCAAUAGUGAAAGACGGUUUUGCUGUCACUUAUAGAUGGAUCCGCGCCGCAUUAGCUAGUUGGUAAGGUAACGGCUUACCAAGGCAACGAUGCGUAGCCGACCUGAGAGGGUGAUCGGCCACACUGGAACUGAGACACGGUCCAGACUCCUACGGGAGGCAGCAGUAGGGAAUCUUCCGCAAUGGGCGAAAGCUUGACGGAGCAACGCCGCGUGAGUGAUGAAGGUCUUCGGAUCGUAAAACUCUGUUAUUCGGGAAGAACAAAUGUGUAAGUACCUAUGCACGUCUUGACGGUACCUAAUCAGAAAGCCACGGCUAACUACGUG
rnacentral:rRNA from 1 species